GAUGAACGCUGGCGGCGUGCUUAACACAUGCAAGUCGAACGAUUAAGACGGCUUCGGCCGUGUAUAGAGUGGCGAACGGGUGAGUAACACGUGACCAACCUGCCCCGCGCUCCGGGACAACCGCUGGAAACGGCGGCUAAUACCGGAUGCUCCGGGGAGGCCCCAUGGCCUCCCCGGGAAAGCCCUGACGGCGCGGGAUGGGGUCGCGGCCCAUUAGGUAGACGGCGGGGUAACGGCCCACCGUGCCCGCGAUGGGUAGCCGGACUGAGAGGUCGACCGGCCACAUUGGGACUGAGAUACGGCCCAGACUCCUACGGGAGGCAGCAGUGGGGAAUUUUGCGCAAUGGGGGGAACCCUGACGCAGCAACGCCGCGUGCGGGACGAAGGCCUUCGGGUUGUAAACCGCUU
rnacentral:rRNA from 1 species